AUUGAACGCUGGCGGCAAGCCUAACACAUGCAAGUCGAACGAGUGGCGGACGGGUGAGUAAUGUAUGGGAACGUGCCCGAUAGCGGGGGAUAACUACUGGAAACGGUAGCUAAUACCGCAUACCAUCGGAUGUGCCCAGAUGGGAUUAGCUAGUAGGUGGGGUAAAGGCUCACCUAGGCGACGAUCCGUAGCUGGUUUGAGAGGAUGACCAGCAACACUGGGACUGAGACACGGCCCAGACUCCUACGGGAGGCAGCAGUGGGGAAUUUUGGACAAUGGGCGAAAGCCUGAUGCAGCCAUGCCGCGUGUAUGAAGAAGGCCUUCGGGUUGUAAAGUACUUUCGGCAGAGAAGCGUUACCCGCAGAAGAAGCACCGGCUAACUCCGUGCCAGCAGCCGCGGUAAUAC
rnacentral:rRNA from 1 species